rnacentral:rRNA from 1 species
AUUGAACGCUGGCGGCAUGCCUUACACAUGCAAGUCGAACGGCAGCAUGGAGAGCUUGCUCUCUGAUGGCGAGUGGCGAACGGGUGAGUAAUGCAUCGGAACGUACCGUGUAAUGGGGGAUAACGUAGCGAAAGUUACGCUAAUACCGCAUACGACCUGAGGGUGAAAGCAGGGGAUCGCAAGACCUUGCGUUAUACGAGCGGCCGAUGUCAGAUUAGCUAGUUGGUGAGGUAAAGGCUAACCAAGGCGACGAUCUGUAGCGGGUCUGAGAGGAUGAUCCGCCACACUGGGACUGAGACGCGGCCCAGACUCCUACGGGAGGCAGCAGUGGGGAAUUUUGGACAAUGGGGGCAACCCUGAUCCAGCCAUGCCGCGUGAGUGAAGAAGGCCUUCGGGUUGUAAAGCUCUUUCGGCCGGGAAGAAAUCGCACAGGCUAAUACUCUGUGUGGAUGACGGUACCGGCAUAAGAAGCACCGGCUAACUACGUGCCAGCAGCCGCAGUAA